rnacentral:rRNA from 1 species
CCUACGGGAUGCAGCAGUGGGGAAUAUUGCACAAUGGGCGCAAGCCUGAUGCAGCCAUGCCGCGUGUAUGAAGAAGGCCCUAGGGUUGUAAAGUACUUUCAGUCGGGAGGAAAGCGUUGAUGCUAAUAUCAUCAACGAUUGACGUUACCGACAGAAGAAGCACCGGCUAACUCCGUGCCAGCAGCCGCGGUAAUACGGAGGGUGCAAGCGUUAAUCGGAAUUACUGGGCGUAAAGCGCACGCAGGCGGUUGACUAAGUUAGAUGUGAAAUCCCCGGGUUUAACCUGGGAAUGGCAUCUAAGACUGGUCAGCUAGAGUCUUGUAGAGGGGGGUGGAAUUCCAUGUGUAGCGGUGAGAUGCGUAGAGAUGUGGAGGAAUACCGGUGGCGAAGGCGGCCCCCUGGACAAAGACUGACGCUCUGGUGCGAAAGCGUGGGGAGCAAACAGGAUUAGAUACCCGUGUAGUC